GGGGCUUCAUUUGCGCCUGGGCGCUCGCUUUAAUAACUAUGAAUAGCGAUCCGGAAUAUCGGUUCCGAUAUUACAGGCGAUAUUGACAGGUAUUUUGGAUGACUCGGAGGAAGAUUUCAUGGCUUACGAUUAGAUCAUGUUUGAAAAAUUAAGUAUUAGCGCAAUGGCACUUUAGAGUUUCGACUUCUGAUAUUACUAUUAAUAUUAUAUAUCUUUUACAUUUUAUAUAUGUGUAUAUAUAAAUUCUACAUGACAUGACAUUAAAAUAUCCGAUAUCCCACCACGAUAACCUAAAUCUCAAAUGCCGGCCCUUGACCGAUAUUUCAUUUUGGACCACAUUAACUGCAUAGCUUGUAGUAAAUAUUGUCAAUGUCACUACACUAUAACAAUCAGGUUAAGUUGCAGCUUCUAACUUGAGUUAGUUAAAAAUAAAGGUAACAAAACAAUUCAUGCUCAAAACAAACACUACAAAAAACAUCACAAGUCACAACGUUUAAAAAACUAGAACUUAAACUUAACAUACAACUUGAUACAAACUACAAAAAAAAAAAAAAAAAAAAAAAAAAAAAAAAAAAAAAGAUAAGUCAGCCCCAAGUACCUUGCAGGUGUUGACGAAUAAACACAACAAUCAACAACAAAGAAAACGGAAGAAUCUGCUCAAUCCACCUCGAAACCUGCUGCAAAUCAUACCUCUGCUGAUUCUGAUUCUGAUUCUGAUUCGACGAAUCACUCGCAUUAUUAUUAUUAUUAUUACCACUACUCCCAUCACCACCACCACCACUCCUCCCAUCCAAAUCACUAUUAUCCCCAUCAUCUCCCCCUUCUUCUUCCUCUCCAUCACCAAUUAUCCGAAUCGAAACCUCACCAUCAUUAUUCUCACUAUUCCUACCAACACUACCACUACCACUACCAGCACCACCUAAAUCAUUCAAACUACUACUACUUCUACGUGAAAUCAACCUCUCAGAUUCAUAAUACUCGUUACUAUUACUUAACCUAGGCCGUAAAAAACCAGAGUAUUCAAACAAAGUAGUUACCGGAGCUUGUAAAAACCGUAGUAUCUGAAACGACGUCGUUUGAGAUGAAUUCGACGUCGUAUUCGCAACGGAAGUAUCGGAAUUUGUGGUGGCAGCACCAACGCCUACUGGCUCCAUCAAACUGAAACCCUAAUGUUCGAAUUGUGGAAAUUGAUCGGGUAACGGAGGGUGUUUGGGUGAAUUAGGGCUUGAUUGUGGCGAUGAAAGUCAAUGGAUUGAGGUGUGGAAGAAAAGGAUAG
rnacentral:lncRNA from 1 species